rnacentral:lncRNA from 1 species
GUCAAUGAUGAUCUCAUGCUCUUCUUCUUCUUGGAGAUUGAACUCCAAGUUGGUGUUGCGGAAGAGCUGCUGCAUCCUCGAAGAUGAUCAACUCUGUGAGGUGAAUUUCCUGUGCAGAAAGUUUGCAGAGCAGAAAGAGUUGCCAUCUUCUGAAAAUUGAAUUAUGCUUGGAAGCGUAGUAGACAAGAAGUCGAAGCUUGUCUGAAGAUAUAUGAUCUGUGUGGGAUAUUGUUUAGGCCAUUUAGAUAAGGACACGUCAGAUUCAAAAAGAGAUUCAGUGGUGGAAAUGGAUAAGGCACCCAAGGUCUUUGUUUUUGCCGACAAUUAGUUCCCAAAACGGCCUUCUUAGGCCUCGGCAUCCACCGUCUGCAAAUUAGCAGGACACAUGAAACCAAACGAAC